GAUGAACGCUGGCGGCGUGCCUAAUACAUGCAAGUCGAGCGAACAGAUGAGGAGCUUGCUCCUCUGACGUUAGCGGCGGACGGGUGAGUAACACGUGGAUAACCUACCUAUAAGACUGGGAUAACUUCGGGAAACCGGAGCUAAUACCGGAUAAUAUAUUGAACCGCAUGGUUCAAUAGUGAAAGACGGUUUUGCUGUCACUUAUAGAUGGAUCCGCGCCGCAUUAGCUAGUUGGUAAGGUAACGGCUUACCAAGGCAACGAUGCGUAGCGGACCUGAGAGGGUGAUCGGCCACACUGGAACUGAGACACGGUCCAGACUCCUACGGGAGGCAGCAGUAGGGAAUCUUCCGCAAUGGGCGAAAGCCUGACGGAGCAACGCCGCGUGAGUGAUGAAGGUCUUCGGAUCGUAAAACUCUGUUAUUAGGGAAGAACAAAUGUGUAAGUAACUAUGCACGUCUUGACGGUACCUAAUCAGAAAGCCACGGCUAACUACGUG
rnacentral:rRNA from 1 species